CAAGGCACGUCCUUUUCUCAAGAAUGAGGAAACAUUUCCCAGAAGCCCAGGCGGCAGCCAUCCCCUCAUAGCUCAUUGGUCAGAACAGUGUCACAUGCCCAUUCCUAAACCAAUCACUGGCAAGAGUGAUGCGUCUUCCUCCUACCCCCUGUCCCGGAGGCUGCACCCUUCUCUCCCGAGCCACUCACCUGCCUGAUCCGGAGGAAGCUUUUCUCUGACAUAUUAUUCUCAACGUUUAAAGCUGCAACAGCCGUUAGAGCAAUAAUAAUGAUGAUGAAUCAGAGCAAUGGACACCUUUUGCGUCAU